rnacentral:lncRNA from 1 species
AUGCACACUAACCCCAAAGUGCUGGGCUUCCUAAGGAUCGUCAGUGUGAUUCUCCCUCCACCACACUGUCUAGAGCUUUGGUGGAAAGAGGACCCUCUCCAGCCAUCCUUCUCAGAGUGUGGACCAUUAAAGCAGAGACAAUUUGUCCCCAGUAAGGAGCACAGUACUUGACACAUGGUGCACUGAAGUGCCCUACAAUCCUCUCUGCCCAGAGAGAAGAAUGAAGCAUGAAGCCAAGAGAAAGAAAAGGACCUCCCUGCCUCCUCACAUACAGAUACGUACACGUACAGAUGAGCAUACGGAAACACAGAUCCCUGCAUCAUGACAUAUAUGCAGGCAUCCGUUCUCAAAGAAGAAAGGAGCGUUGCUGAAGUUCCCACGGGCUUUCCCGUUCCUGGUCCUACUCUCAAGAGGUUUGGCACUGAGUUCUCAGAACCACAUUUCAGAAUGUUUGCAGUUUUUCUUUUUGGCUUACUUUAGCUCCUCUUGAUUUAUCUCAUCAGCAUUUUUUCCCCAGAAAUAUCUCAAUUUCAAUUAAAAUAUCUCACAUUUUAUUGCAAAAAAAAAAAAAACCUUGAUAAAAUCCCCAAAUUCUCCUAUUUCAAAGGUAUAAAUCAAUACAUCAAUACAAACUUGGGAUUUAUUUUAACUAUAUUUGAUGAAUAGUAGCUUAAAAAGAACUUAGCUUUUAUUUAGAGCCUUAGAGACAUG